AUUGAACGCUGGCGGCAUGCCUUACACAUGCAAGUCGAACGGCAGCACGGGAGCAAUCCUGGUGGCGAGUGGCGAACGGGUGAGUAAUAUAUCGGAACGUGCCCAGUCGUGGGGGAUAACGUAGCGAAAGCUACGCUAAUACCGCAUACGAUCUACGGAUGAAAGCGGGGGAUCGCAAGACCUCGCGCGAUUGGAGCGGCCGAUAUCAGAUUAGGUAGUUGGGGGGGUAAAGGCUCACCAAGCCGACGAUCUGUAGCUGGUCUGAGAGGACGACCAGCCACACUGGGACUGAGACACGGCCCAGACUCCUACGGGAGGCAGCAGUGGGGAAUUUUGGACAAUGGGCGCAAGCCUGAUCCAGCAAUGCCGCGUGCAGGAUGAAGGCCUUCGGGUUGUAAACUGCUUUUGUACGGAACGAAAAGGUUUGGUCUAAUACGCUGAACUCAUGACGGUACCGUAAGAAUAAGCACCGGCUAACUACGUGCCAGCCGCCGCCGUAAGAC
rnacentral:rRNA from 1 species